GGGGAGAUAGCUCAAGUGGUAGAGUGCAUGCCUAGCAUGCAUGAGGUCCUGGGUUCAAUCCCCACUAUUCCAU
rfam:Camelus ferus unplaced genomic scaffold scaffold681, whole genome shotgun sequence.